UAGAGAUAUUAACGUGCCGCGCAAUUUUCUACCAUCUAGAAGACUCCAGAAGCCACGGGAACGAACGGGAGGCCGAUCGGGCUCGGGAGCAGGGCGCCCGCCCUCCCCCCUUGGGUGCCCGCCCAGCUACAGUAACCAAUCAGCUUCAACUUCACGGAUCGUGCUCCACCGACCUAAGGGACCAAGGAAAACCAUGCGAUUAAUGUCGGUUUGAUCCGACGUCCCAGAUUCAUCUGAAAAGACUAUAUAAGCAAGGCCCCCUAGCCCCUGGAGAGCAUACCUCUUCUACAGAAUCAAAGCUAGGGUUUCAAUUCUUCAUCCAAGUAGAGAGGAUCCCUCUAGUUCUUCUAGUUCUACCUCUAGUUCAUCUAGAUCUAGUUCUAGUUCAUCUAGUUCUAGUUCUAGUUCCUCUAGUUCUAGUUCUAGUUGUAAUCUAGAAAAUAGGGAGAGAGAAGAGGAGAGCGGAGGAGCCGGAUCUGUCGGAUCUUCCUCAACAUUGUAGUUUUGCAACAACUGGUUCGUUCUUCGUCGUUCUCCAGGUUCUUCAAUUCAUAAUUCCUGAGUUCUUUAAUUACUUUUAUUUACAUUCAAGUUAUUUAUUGGAUUCUCGCUUGCAUCAAGUGCUCUAAUCUUUGCAACAUUAGAGUAGUAAUUAAUAGAUUAGACGUGGUGUUUAGUCUUGCAAUUACCUGGAAUUGCACCCAAUCCUGCGGAUUGUUGUGGUAGCCCUAGGGUAGUGACAGCCCUAACGGUCGACGUAUUCCACCUCGUUCGGAUCGGUGUUUGUAGGACCAUAGUCUGAGCUUCCUAGCCCCCUUCUCAUCUCUUUCUGUGGUUAGUGUUCUGAUGUCCCGAAAUAGAUAAUCUUUGAAGUAAUUCUUGAUUCUUAGAUCAACUAGAGAACUCUCAGGAAACUUCCUCUCUUCCCACCAAAAAAUAAUUAUAUAGUUAUCCUUGGGCGAUCUUGAAUCUUAAUUAGUACACUCACGUUCCCUGUGGAAAAUCAAUACUCUGGAAUACUCCUGGGUGAAGGCUACAUCGGUAUCCGUGCGCUUGCGGAUUUUUCUGUUUGCGUUUAAAAUACCCAACAGUCAGAAGAUGUAGAGUUUAAACAGAAUUAUCCAGAGGAGAUUGAAGCACCGAGUCAGGUAUGGAAAAUGAAGAUAACUAUACAUGAAGAGGAGGCGCCGCCGGAAGUACCGACUACGCCACCCAACGAAUCCUAGGACAAUUAAGAAAACGGAGAGUCCCGUUCGGAGGACUUAAAAACACCGAACGCCUUGCCAAGAGGUAAACUUGGUAGUUAUCCUUUUCUUUUCAAUUAUUUUAAACAGUUUGCUUAGUAAAUCAUGUUCAUGCUAUCCUAAAAAGAAAAUAAAAAAAAUGUGAAAAAAAAACAGUAAGCCCCAUGUGAGUAUGCGAGUGGCAUAAAACCCAUAAGUACAUUCACUGUGGUGGCACAAAAAUAAAAUAAAAAUUUCUUUUCUGCUUUAUAAAAUAAAAAUAUAAAAACAGGGAGUAAUAAUUAUUAAGGAGUCUCAACAUAAUAAAUGCUAAUUUAAGAAUCAAGAAGACUAGCAGACGGAGGACAUUCUAAUCAUUGUCAGAAUGCUGCUGACUUUCAAAUACACCUCUGCCGCCUGCUAGCUACAUCAAGGGAAAUUACGUCAAAAUUCAGCUUGGGGGAGAGCACCCCCAUUUAUCCCAAUAAGUAUUUCUAUCUAUCUUUAUACUUAUAUUGUUUUAGAAUAUAAAUAUACAUAACUAUGAAAAACCAAAUAAAGAUUUUAUGCUUAUAUAUAUGUCUUUUGCUUAGUGUGUUUAAUAAAUAAAUAAAGUGGCUAUGCUAAUCUGUAUCUAAAUAAAACUUAAGCAUGGAUAUAAUGAAUAGUUGCUCUGCCUAAUUUGAACAUUUUAAGUUCUCUCUCAAGUUUAGAUAUAACUGUUAUAAUUUAAAGCUUGCUCUAGACAUAAACUUGUGGGAUGAAAAUUUGAUCUGAAGUCUAAAUUGUUAACGGAUAUGAUAUAGGAAGGUUGAGCUGCUGUUUAUCUGUUCCUAGAGAUGCUAGAAUUUUGGAGAAUUUUAUUUUUGAAAAUCUUUAAAAUGUUGCAUGAUGAGUUUCUGUAUGAUGAGAGUUUAAAUUCCUACCACAGCGAUAUAUAUACAUGCUUGCUAGACUUUGAGCCACACAUUUACUAUUUACUGCUUAUGAGCAUUGAGUGUGGUCAAGCUGUGUAGACCCUUAGAAGCUUGUCAUGUGGUUAAAUCAAGAUUCACUUGCACGUUCACUCAUAUAUGCUACUUCUAGUCCGGAAGUACCAUCCACAUAUAUCCACCCAUUCCAUCUCCAGAACCACCUAAAAAUAUUCUACUCCUAAUCCGGGAGAGAAUAGCCAAAAAAAACAUUUCUGUUUUUCCCUUGUGAAAUAAAUGCUCAAGUUAUCUUAUUACUACCACUUGCUAUAUUAUCUCAAGAGAUGAGUGCUCUGAAAAAAAAGAGAAAAAAGAUACGAGGAAAUAAAAAGGAGCAAGUGCUCGGAACCUCGAAAGAAAAGAAAAAGUGAGACGAGAGGUAAAAAUGGACAAGUGUCCGACAGUAGAAUUAGGGGUACAAUAUACCCACCUGAGAGGAAAGAAAAAGAAAAAAAAUAAUAUAUAUAGAGCAUCUCAUUCUCCUCAAUAUUCAAAAAGCAAGGAAGGUAUGUAUCCCUUCAAAAGAGCAAAAGUAGAAUUAGACUUUCACCAUUGUUUCCACCAUUGCUAUCAUUAUCAUCACCAUACACCAUUCAUUCGCCACACAUGCACAUCUUGAUUUGGCUUAAUGAUUUGUUUCUUUGGAUCCAUGGUUUGACUAUGCAAUACAUGUCUUGUAAGUAUGUAUACUUUAUCUCCCACCUAUGAGCUCCAGAUAUUAAAGCCUUAUUAGAGUAGGGUGAGAGAGAAGGCAAUAUCACUAUGCCUUAUAAAACAAAUACUACAUAUAUAUAUUGAGAGAAGGCAUAUACCAUCACUGCCUUGGUAAGGAUCCAGAAAUACCACAAAAGAGAGAUAUGAGAGAAUCAUACAAGGAAUUCUGAGUUUUAUUUGAAAAUCUGCAAAAACCCCAGAGCUAUAGCUGAUCAAGAAUAAGAGACAUGGCACUUGACUAGACUGUUCUAUCUUUUAACUACUCAAGACAGAAGUGACGGUUACAAGUCCCAUGGUGGAAGGUAAAGUAAGUUUUAAGUCUUGACAGUUUACUCUAACUCAGAGAUAAGAUCUUAUUUAAAAAACAUAUGUACCGUCAAUUUUUAAAAAUAUUGCAACAACUUAUGAUCCAUAGCUGAGUCUAUCCUUGCUCAGGGAUGAGCAAGAGGUAAGCUUGGGGGAGUUUGUUGACGGUCCUUAAGUAUCAAAUUUAAUUAUCAAAUAAAUAAAGAAAAGGAUCCAAAUGAAAUCAACAUCUAGACUUAGGGUUUUUUCUGACAGAAUUCCACGAGUUUUGGUGUUUGUCUAUUUCUGCAGGGGGUAUCAGGAAAUACGGAAGAAAGGCCCACACGUCGGGAUUACAUUGAGAUAUUAACGUACCGCGCAAUUAUCUUACAUCUAGAAGACUCCAGAAGCCACAAGACCAAUGCGGAGACGAAACGGGGCUAGAGGCAGGGCGCCCGCCCUGUUCCCCUAGGCGCUCGCCCCCUCCCGGAGUCCAAUCAGGACUCUGCUUCGUGGGAGAUCUCCACCGACCUAAAGGAUGAAUCUAAACCAUACAAUCUAUGUCGGUUUGAUCCAACGGCCCAUAUUCACUUGAAGGGACUAUAAAACCAGACCCCCUGGCCCCUGGAGGAGAGAGCCUCUCAACCCUAAUUCAUUAUUCUCAAGGGAGAAGAAGCCUCUGAUCAAGAUUGGAGCCACCACAUCAAUUAGACAUCUAGAUUAGCAUAGCUACAUAGGAUUAGAACUAGAAGGAGUCAAUCUUCGAUUGGUUUCCGGAUCUGUCAAGAGGAUUCUUGGUAAUUCUCUAAUUGUGCCUCUAAUUGCUUUCUAAUUAUCUUUGUUCUUCAAUAUUAUGAAUAUGACUUUGUUCUACUUUAAUAUAUUGCUUAUGACUUUGCCCUACUUGCUUAUAUUCAAGAUUAUAUUGUUCUUAGUUUAUCAUAGUUAUGUACUUGGCUUAGUUAGAUUAGAUCUAUAUACAUGCUUAGGAUCGUAUAGCGUUUAUCCAUCGGAUCCAUGGGUAAAUGAUAGAUAUUGUGUAGGCGUGGUGCUUAUACCGUAUUUAUCUGCGAUUGUACCCAAUAUGCCAGAUCGUGGGGUGGUUCGUGAUAGUGACAGGUUCAUUGAUUCUUAUAUAGUCCCCCUCUCGUGUAUUGGGCUGGC
rnacentral:lncRNA from 1 species